GGUCGCGUGGCCCAAUGGGUAAGUUCAAUCACCAGUGCACCUCACUGAGGUCACAAACCAUAAGCAUUCAAUACUAACAAAGGAACCAGCAAGGCGUCUGACUACGAAUCAGAAGAUUCUGGGUUCGAUCCCCAGCGUGAUCA